UUUGGCUCGCGGGACGAAUAAGGGCGCAGCGGAGGCGUAAGGUCGUGGAGCAGCAGCGAUGACAGCACGUGCCUGAAACAGCGAUAGCAUGACGACCCCUUUGAAUUAAGCAUAUGAGUAAAGGGAGGAAAAGAAACUAACAAGGAGUUCCUCAGUAGCGGCGAGCGAAGAAGGAAGAGCCCCGAGUUAAUCACGAGAGUAGAUGUCAGUAUGCCGAGAAACGGUGUUGAAUCACCGGCCAGUGAGAGUGAUAGCCUCGUAAGGACGGAACGUGGGAGUAGCAGUGUUUGGUAUUGCACUGUGAACNGGUGCUGCGCCCAUCCAAGGCUAAAUACGGCGCGAGACCGAUAGUGGAUAAGUAGAGCGAUCGAAAAUGAAUAAACU
rnacentral:rRNA from 1 species